rnacentral:rRNA from 1 species
GACGAACGCUGGCGGCGUGCUUAACACAUGCAAGUCGAACGGAAAGGCCCUGCUUUUGUGGGGUGCUCGAGUGGCGAACGGGUGAGUAACACGUGAGUAACCUGCCCUUGACUUUGGGAUAACUUCAGGAAACUGGGGCUAAUACCGGAUAGGAGCUCCUGCUGCAUGGUGGGGGUUGGAAAGUUUCGGCGGUUGGGGAUGGACUCGCGGCUUGUCAGCUUGUUGGUGGGGUAGUGGCUUACCAAGGCUUUGACGGGUAGCCGGCCUGAGAGGGUGACCGGCCACAUUGGGACUGAGAUACGGCCCAGACUCCUACGGGAGGCAGCAGUGGGGAAUAUUGCACAAUGGGCGGAAGCCUGAUGCAGCAACGCCGCGUGCGGGAUGACGGCCUUCGGGUUGUAAACCGCUUCCGCCUGUGACGAAGCGUGAGUGACGGUAAUGGGUAAAGAAGCACCGGCUAACUACGUG